rnacentral:rRNA from 1 species
GAUGACUUCUGGCGGCGUGCUUAACACAUGCAAGUCGAACGAAGCGAUAGAGAACGGAGAUUUCGGUUGAAGUUUUCUAUUGACUGAGUGGCGGACGGGUGAGUAACGCGUGGGUAACCUGCCCUAUACGGGGGGAUAACAGUUAGAAAUGACUGCUAAUACCGCAUAAGCGCACAGCUUCGCAUGAAGCGGUGUGAAAAACUGAGGUGGUAUAGGAUGGACCCGCGUUGGAUUAGCUAGUUGGUGAGGUAACGGCCCACCAAGGCGACGAUCCAUAGCCGGCCUGAGAGGGUGAACGGCCACAUUGGGACUGAGACACGGCCCAAACUCCUACGGGAGGCAGCAGUGGGGAAUAUUGCACAAUGGGGGAAACCCUGAUGCAGCGACGCCGCGUGAAGGAAGAAGUAUCUCGGUAUGUAAACUUCUAUCAGCAGGGAAGAAAGUGACGGUACCUGACUAAGAAGCCCCGGCUAAUUACGUGCCAGCAGCCGCGGUAAUACGUAAGGGGCAAGCGUUAUCCGGAUUUACUGGGUGUAAAGGGAGCGUAGACGGUUUGGCAAGUCUGAUGUGAAAGGCAUGGGCUCAACCUGUGGACUGCAUUGGAAACUGUCAGACUUGAGUGCCGGAGAGGCAAGCGGAAUUCCUAGUGUAGCGGUGAAAUGCGUAGAUAUUAGGAGGAACACCAGUGGCGAAGGCGGCCUGCUGGACGGUAACUGACGUUGAGGCUCGAAAGCGUGGGGAGCAAACAGGAUUAGAUACCCUGGUAGUCCACGCUGUAAAC